UAGUAGUGUUCAAUUUUAAAUUGGUUGCAAGGAAGGCUGCAGGAAAUUAAUUUCAAUGCUACCUCAUCCGUUACAGAUUUCCAAAAUGUUCUAUUAAAAUGAUCGAUCUGCAAGUGUACAGCAAGGUUCGACUCUCCAGAAACUAGAUUUAAUUUCUUGUAUUUCUUUUCUCUUUGGAAUUUUGGAUUGCACUUGACAUUUGGUCAUUUCAGUUGUCCGUCUCCCUCCAUCUCUCUCCUCCUCUCCCUCUGGCCAGUACAUAUCUCUGUCGGCCCUGCAAUCAUCCGGACUCUCUCCGGUUGACAUAUGUGACACUGUGACCGUAAAUGUUCUGCCAUCUGUUAACCCAUAGAGAGGGAGAUAGAGAAAAAGAGAGGGCUACAGCUGUCACUCAGCCACGCUCCGCUUUGCUUUAAGGAUUUCCAAAGAGUUUUUUUCUCUUUUUAGCUUAUCCCUCUGUGACCUCUGCGGAAGAUUUUACUUUGGGGGAUUUUAUUGACUCUUGUUUCGGGGCGCUUUUCUCGUUUUCAUGUUUGUCAUUGUCAAUCUCGUUUAUCGACAUCCGUUUAAUGUCCAGCAAUUUGAAUGGAAC
rnacentral:lncRNA from 1 species